CCCUUAGAUGUCCGGGGCCGCACGCGCGCUACACUGAAGGAAUCAGCGUGGCUUUCUCCCUGACCCGAAAGGGUUGGGAAACCCGUUGAAUCUCCUUCGUGAUAGGGAUUGGGGCUUGAAAUUGUUCCCCAUGAACGAGGAAUUCCCAGUAAGCGCGAGUCAUAAGCUCGCGUUGAUUACGCCCCUGCCCUUUGUACACACCGCCCGUCGCUACUACCGAUUGAACGGUUUAGUGAGGGCCUCGGAUUGGUCUCGGCCCGCUCUUUACCGGGCGGCGCCGUUGGUCGAGAAGACGCUCGAACUUGAUCGUUUAGAGGAAGUAAAAGUCGUAACA
rnacentral:rRNA from 1 species